GACACCUGUUGCUGACGAUAAACUUGUCCUUGGCUGCCUGGGAGGCUGAAAUAAACAGCAAACAUGCAUUUGAAGAAACCAAAGCCUUUCAGGAAAGAGAAUUGGGGUGGAAAGUCGUUUUGCUUUCCCAGAAUCCUUGGGAGAAUGAUCCUGACAUAAUCACUCCCAAGUCCAGGAUAAAUGAAUACAGAAAUGCUUUAAAGAACGCAGUGAGUCUGAUGGAUUUUAUUGAUCGGCUCUUCCCUGUUUCCUGGGGAAAUACUGCGCCUUCUUUGCUGUGGCUCCCUCACGCCGGCCCAGUGACACAGACAUGAUUGUUUUCAUCACAGGACGGCAUUUCCUUGGAAUGAAAUAUGAAAUGGGGUGCAUUCUGCUCUCACCUCAGGGCAGUGUGGUGCCUGGGCUUGGACAGACAUUUCAUUAUUUCCAAACAAAUAUCACCUGCAAUCAAAUAUUAAUUUUAUACGAAACCAGAAUGAUCACUAGUGCUUUUUGUCACCAGAGUGAAAGAGCAAUGAACAUCCAAGAGGUAAGAUCACAACCUUUGCGGAGUUUGUCCUUGUUUCUGGAGGUAAACAGACAAGCCCCAUGGUGCAGGAGGGCCGGAGUGGAAGUCUGGCCGCCCUGGCAGGCUCUGUAGCAAAGGACGGAGUGGCCUGGGAAGCAGCACACCUUUGCCCAGAUCUCCAGUGUUUCGACCAUCUCCUUACCCGAUCACCCUGACGCAACACCCACAAGCAGACAAGCCCUCCCCGUAUUUACAGCUUCUCACAACUUUCCAUUUCCUCCUUCUUUAAAAACAACUAAACAGGGCAUUAUAAAAUAUUUGAGGAAAGCCUCUGUAUGAGUUAUGCUGAGCAAUACAUUAGCCCCCACACUUAGCAGCUUAAAACAACAAGCAUUUAUGAUCUCACAGUUUCUGUGGGUCAGGCAUUUGAGAAUGGCUUAGCUGGGUGGUUCUGGCUCAAGAUCUCUUAUGAGGUGCAUGUCUGAAGUCAGGAGAAUCCACUUCCAAGAAGGCUCACUCACAUGACUGUAGGCAAAGAGGUCUUAGGUCCUUGCUGGCUGUUGGCAGGAGGCUUCAGUUUCUCACUACUUGGACCUCUCCACAGGGCUGCUUGAGUGUCCUCCUAACAUGGCAGCUGAAUUCACCCACAUUGAGUGAUCCAAGAGAAAGAACAAGGAGGAAACUUUUUACAAUCCAGUCUUGGAUGCUGCACGCCGUCAUUUCCAUUCAUUAGAAACAAAUCACUAAGUCUAGCUCAUGCUCUGUGGAGGGGAAUUGGGCCUCACCUCUUGAGAGGAAGAGUGUCAAAGGAUUUAGGAACAUAUUUUAAGACUACCCAAUCUGUAACAGGAAAAAAAACUGAUAGAAAUAAAUAAAUAUCUAAAAAUAAUUCUAAAAUGAUG
rnacentral:lncRNA from 13 species